GUUUCCUAAUCCUAAGUGGGUGGGGCUCAGUCUAAAAUGUCUAUCCUAUCAUUAUCUCUCCUCCUCUCAGUAUGUAUCUUGUGUAUUAUUUGUGAUGAUCCUCCAGGACACUUGCAGCCAUUGGGCUCACACAUGCCUCCUCUCCUUGUGGAAGAGACCACUAAACCAGUCUAGUUACAUAUAGAAAGAGACUGAGGUUUUUACUAACUGGAGAUAUGACAGUUAUUUGAGACAAUUUGAAUGAAGAUGCUGGACUAUUUCAAAAACAAGCAGUCCAAAUGAGGUGAAAAUAUAGGAACAAAGAUUAUAUGGAAUAGCAUUAAUUAACUGUCAUAUUAAUAGUUGAUGAGUUCAUAGUUAUAUUACAUACUGUUGUCAUUGUCUUUUCAAUAAUUCCAGAUUAUUAUAUUAUUAU